rnacentral:rRNA from 1 species
UGGGGAAUAUUGCACAAUGGGCGCAAGCCUGAUGCAGCCAUGCCGCGUGUAUGAAGAAGGCCUUCGGGUUGUAAAGUACUUUCAGCGGGGAGGAAGGCGAUAAGGUUAAUAACCUUGUCGAUUGACGUUACCCGCAGAAGAAGCACCGGCUAACUCCGUGCCAGCAGCCGCGGUAAUACGGAGGGUGCAAGCGUUAAUCGGAAUUACUGGGCGUAAAGCGCACGCAGGCGGUUUGUCAAGUCGGAUGUGAAAGCCCCGGGCUCAACCUGGGAACUGCAUUCGAAACUGGCAGGCUAGAGUCUUGUAGAGGGGGGUAGAAUUCCAGGUGUAGCGGUGAAAUGCGUAGAGAUCUGGAGGAAUACCGGUGGCGAAGGCGGCCCCCUGGACAAAGACUGACGCUCAGGUGCGAAAGCGUGGGGAGCAAACA